rnacentral:rRNA from 1 species
GUAGGUGGCAAGCGUUGUCCGGAUUUACUGGGCGUAAGGAGCGCGCAGGCGGUCGUUCAAGUCGCGUGUGAAAGCCCCCGGCUCAACUGGGGAGGGUCACGCGAUACUGAUCGACUCGAAGGCAGGAGAGGGAAGUGGAAUUCCCGGUGUAGUGGUGAAAUGCGUAGAUAUCGGGAGGAACACCAGUGGCGAAGGCGACUUCCUGGCCUGUUCUUGACGCUGAGGCGCGAAAGCUAGGGGAGCAAACGGGAUUAGAUACCCCGGUAGUCCUAGCCGUAAACGAUGGACACUAGGUGUUGGUGGUAUCAACCCCGCCAGUGCCGAAGCUAACGCAUUAAGUGUCCCGCCUGGGGAGUACGGCCGCAAGGCUA